CAUGCUGAGCAGGUAAACAGGAUUAGUCUGGGGUAGUAUUGCAAUUACACAAGCGCUAGCAAAUGGAUGGGUAAUGCUAAGUGGCAGCAUGUGUGACCAUCUCUCUUAAAAUAUCCAGCUGUAGUCACAGCCUUUAAACUCGAUAUUAUGAAAGUGAAGCUUCUGUAGGCCACAACCCGUUCUCCUCAACUCAGAAAGAUGGUCCUCGUGUUGUAGUGGUCAAAGUCCGCCAGCGCCAAUACAAAGCAUCUUUCAGUUUUGCUUUUCCAGCUGGCUGCUGAUUAAACCAAAAUACCACCAGUUCUUGAUGUCCACUGGGAUUUUCCAGCUGUAUGAAGUAUUCCCAUUGGUGAUCCAACAGAAAAUUAUUUUAUCAACCAGGUGCAGCAGUGUUUCAGGCACAGGCAUGGCGGAGACUGCUGACAGUGAGGCAGAC
ensembl:lncRNA